rnacentral:rRNA from 1 species
AGUCGAGCGGUAGCACAGGGAGCUUGCNCCUGGGUGACGAGCCGCAGACGGGUGAGUAAUGUCUGGGAAACUGCCCGAUGGAGGGGGAUAACUACUGNAAACGGUACCUAAUACCGAAUAACUUCUUCCGACCAAAAUGGAGGACCUUCGGGCCUCACACCAUCGGAUGUGCCCAGAUGGGAUUAGCUANUAAGUGAGGUAAUGGCUCCCCUAGGCAACGAUCCCUAGCUGGUUUGAAAACAUGACCAUCCACACUGGAACUGAGAUUCUGUCCAAACUCCUACUGGA